rnacentral:ncRNA from 1 species
UACCUGAGUGAUCCUGCCAGUCUUGUCUCAAAGAUUAAGCCAUGCGAUUCUUAACACACACGACCGGUACAGUAAAACUGCUCAUGGCUCAUUAAAUUAGUUAUGGUUCCUUUAAUUGCUCCAACGUUAUUUGGAUGACUGCAGCAGGUACUUGCGGGCACCACAGGCGCAUUUGGUGACUAUAACCUCGACAGGUGAUGCGCUGACGUCUACUUCCAAUAUCAGCCCUAUCAACUUUAUGUGCAUGCCAUGGUGAACACAGGUAACGGAAUCAGAGUUGGAUUCCGGGAGGGAGCUACCACAUCCAAGGAAGGCACCAGGCACGCAAAUUACCCACUGCUGACUCUGGGAGAUAGUGGUGAAAAAUAACAAUACAGGACUCUUUUGAGGCCCUUCAAUUCGAAUGAGUACGCUUUAAAUCCUUUCAUGAGGAUCCAUUGCUGAUGUUUAGAAGUUGCAUUUUACAGUGGUCAAACUUCUGAAAGUGUAAUUAAUUAUGUUUUAACCUUAAACUCUGCCUGCCUGUUGUGUAUUGUCCAUCGGUGUGACAUAAUGUCCUAUGAGGUGACGCCAAUAAAUAAAGUGUUAUCUUGAACAAAAUACAAAAAAAAAAUGUUAAGCAUGUGGCAGGUAACAUCAUCAUAAUACACAAGUAAACAAAUAGCUUUUUAUCUCGUUUUUUGUCAAAUUACUUUAUCUUCAUUAUACAACAAAUUCCAGAAUAUGAUUACUG